GGGAUAGCAUUGGGAUAGCAUUGGGAGACGCGGAAGGGGUAUCAUUGGGAUAGCAUUGGGAGACGCGGAAGGGGUAGCACGGGGAUAGCAUUGGGAUAGCAUUGGGAUAGUAUUGGGACAGUAUUGGGAUAGCAAUGGGACAUGCGGAUGGGGUAGCAUUGGGACAACACUGGGAUAGCACUGGGGCAUGCUCCUGUUAAAUAGCACCUAGUCAAAGCGGGUUUUAAAACGUAUCAUCAACUGAAAUUCACGAUCAGACUGAAAUAUAAACUAAAAUGCUAGUUUAAAGUAACGCACGUCGCUUUAAUGUAGUUGGCGUGCCUUCUUUGCGGGUUUAGACGUAGCAGCAGAGUAGGAAUCACGGUUAUAUAGAGGUAUGAACGUGAUCUCAUAAAGACACAACUCUGCUUAUUCAAAAUUAUUACUGACAGAAAUAACAAGAUCAUGUAAUUAUGUACAAUAUUACAGUCAUUUACUAUACCGCGUGAAGCAACGCUCAUGAAGUACAUACAUACAUACAUACAUACAUACUCGACCUUACCUGCAGAUACGUAAAAAAAGCAACCCAAUAAUAAGAAUAAAAACAGAAUCAUCAGGCCGGUCCAGUUUAACACCGCGCUUAAGAACAGUGUAGAGUUCCAGCAAAGAGAAAACUAGCGGUGUACAGAAACUUUCACUGAGGAAAAAACUUUUCGUUCAAACUGAAUAGGAAUACUGAAGGGGGAGUGGUGUUGGGUUGUUUAGUCAGCAGCCAAUUAGAAUUCACUAUUCAGAAACGUCACCAGUUCCUAAGCUGAAUUGAAUCUUCGCGGUUCCACUGCGAGCACGGAAGCGAUGUGUUGUAAUAUGAAUGCCGUAUAUUUGAAGUGUAUAAACGUCACAUUGUUACGGCUCUUCUUAUUUAAGGGGCGAGCAUUUCAGAGGACUGUGACUGACUGUAUUAGGAGUUUGACCACUCUGAAAGCAUCCAGGACCUUUGACCUUAAUUUACAUCAACACUUUAUAUUGUAUCCCGUCAUUGACUACAAAGGAUUUGCAUCAAAGUAUUAAAAAUAAUACUCAUAAUUGUCAACUUAUGCAAUAACAUUUGAGCCUGUGAAAAUAGAGGAACUGUCUAUAAAAUGUCUGUAAUUCCUAAACUGUUAAUGCAAUAUUUUAAAUGAAAUUUUCACUCAAAUCUUGAUUGCUUCCUUUCAAAUACAUUAUGUUGGUGUACAGAGGUAAAAUUAUGAAAAUUGUCACUGUCCAAAUACUUAUGGACCCGACGGUCUCAUCUGUGCUUCCCAUUUAAAAACCACCAGCUGGUUCCACAUGUUACUUCCCAGUUCCAUACUUACAUGUAAUGUCAUUUCUGAGCAUAAUUUCUCUCCACACACACACUGCAUCUGGUACAACAGGAAUACUCUAUGCAAAAAUUAAUCUUUAUACUUUAAAACUUGGUGUAAAUAUUUUGCUGGACAAUUAGUUAUUUAACAAAUAAGUAAUACUCUGAUGACUAAUCAUCUCAUUGUCCACCAUCAAAAAUGUAAGAUGCCUUGUUAAAAUAAAGAGUUGUUUUGUUAUGUGUGACAGUUUGGAUCCAUUAAGAGAGUAUAUUUUUAGCUAAGAAAACCUACAUGAUUAAGUUUUAGAUUUGAAUGUUAGAGCUAAUGCUAAUCCUCAUUUAGUAGCUAGCUAACGUUAACCAACACGUUUUAGAAUAAUAUUUAAAUUCUAUUUGAUCGAUCACUGCACGACGGUCAUUGAAAGCUAAAAAAAGUACCAUUUUAAAAUAUCAGUUUGAUAGUGUAAAUGACUGGCUAGCUGACUAGUUUGCAAGCUAAUGCUAAUCCUCAUUUUGUAACAUGGUCGAUCGGAGUUGUCAGGAUUUAACACUACGCUAUAAUACAGUAUUUUCUCGAGGCGAUUUUCAGGGCUGCAUUAGCAUGCCUCACUACACUGAAAGCCCCUGGUCACCGUUUAUUUUGUUGUCGAAAGGUAGCUUGCUGUGACAAUCUUUUGUUUUGCCUUGUGUGGGAGUCAUUAAUCACUGAUGCAUCAUAUCUAGCUAGAGCAAUCUUUUAGAGAUUUUAGCUAGGUAGUUUUCAUCUGUUAUUGCUAACACACAGUUUAUUGCUGCUAAUAGUGUGAAACUUGCUUCUGUUCUGUUUAUAAAGUAUCCUCGGUUAUUUAGGUUGGAUACGUGACGGGUCCUAAUUUUAAAAUGAUCUGUGGAGUUUGUGGACAUGAGCUAGUAGGAUCGAGGCACAUGUCCUUUCUAAACCUGAAGAUGCAGAGGAAGCAUUCCAAGAGAAUACCAGUGGACUCAUGUUUCGGAUCUGGUCAUUCGAGGGACAUGUCAUUUGUGAGUGACUCCUAUCUACAUUCCUGACUGGGCUUGCAACCUUGUUCUCAAUGUAUUAUGUGUUCAACUUACAGAACCAGGAGAAGGCCUCUUGUACUUUGGAGUUGCUGGCUCAAAUUUUGCCUAUUACCUGAAGACACUUAACAUAGAAACAGAUACUCACAUAUUCAAUUGGAGAAAGAAAAAUAAGACACCAGCUGUGAGUGAGAAGAAGCAAGGGUCCAGGUUUAUUCGUUCCAUUACACCACACGAGAUCCACACAGUUUGAGACGUCCCAAAAAAAAAAACAGAGCUGAAGCUCUUCCAUUUAUACAGUUUUCUUAGGGUCAGGAUGACCCAGACACCAAUGUGCCCUCCCACAAUACCAUUAUGUUUUAGAAAGAGCCCUUCCUGAACACCAUUAGGUUUUCGAAAGAGCCUUCCCAUAAUACCAAUAGGGUUAAAAAAAAAAAAAAAAGCUCAUCUACAUUACCAUGAUGUUUAAAAAAAGGCUAUCAAAUUUACCAUGGUGUUUUGAAAGAGGCUUAUCAAAUUUACCAGUAGGAUUGAAAGUGGGAGAAAGAGGAAACAAUUUUGAGAGACCUUGGUCUCAUGGGGGGGCUUGACUCAGCUACCCUUAUACAUGGCUUCUCAUGGUUAUUAAGGUUAUUAAAAUUAAGGCCCUCGGCUACACCAUGCUCGACCCUUCCCCGUGAGACAAGAAUCCUCACCAUCCGAAUUAUGAGUUAGCUAUGUGUGUGCGUUUCCUUAACUCUCUUUCUCUGUGACUAAUAAACCAUAAUGUUUUAAUCUUAAAAUGUGAAUCCAAUUCAAUAAAAUUACGUAUUACUCAUACUAGGUCUCCCUCGUGUUUAUUUCAUGUCAUUUUUAUCCACAACACCUUGUUCGUUAAAUCUAACUUUCUUUUUGCUCUUUGAAUGCCUUAUAUCCCUACCCUAAAAGUCACCAACUACUUGCUGUUGUGUACUUGCUGUGUUUCUAGGCGUGUCAAUGGGAUGAACCCAGAGCAGCGUUAAAUUUUAGCCGCGGCAAUGUGGUCUCAAAGAAGACAGGUAAAAUCAUCAACAAGAAAUCUUACAGUUAACCCUCGUGUCUCUACCUGAAGAAUCUCAUGGACUUUCAGUGGGACUUCAUUUAGGAAAGCACAUUUUCACAUGCUCUCACUAAUGCACUCACUGGUAGGGUGUGAUAUCAUAUGCUCUGCUUAUGUUUUAAAGUCAAUUGCCAAAGGCCAUCUUUGAGAUUGAGUCAAGUCUGUCUCCAGCCUAACCAGACAUUUAGUCCAGCAGAAAAAUUUGAAGUAUGUACAAUCCCCUCUGAAAGUAUUACAACAGCAGGGCCAAGCCUAUUGUUUUUUGCUAUAUACUGAAGACGUUUGGGUUUGAGAUCCAAAGAUGAAUGAGACAACGCAUCAGCAUUUCAGCUUUUAUUUUCUCAUAUUUACAUCUAGAUGCGUUCAACAAUUUAGAACAUUGCACCUUUUGUUUUUACCCACCCAUUUUUUUCCAAGUGAGUACCUGCCCAGGUGUGCCCUGUUAGAUUGACUGUUUAAAGAAGUAAUAGCUCUGAAUGUCUGUCGGUUUGAGCUCAAGGUUUCACCUGUGAAGACUGCAUUUGUUGUUAAAAUCCAUGAAGAUCAGAGAGCUGUCUAUGGGAGAAAAGCAAGUGAUUUUGAAGCUGACAAAAGAUGGAGAAUCAAUCAGCGGCAUUGCACAAGCAGUGGGCAUAGCCAAUACAACCAUUUAGAAUGUCCUGAAAAUGGAAAAGAAAAAAAAAAAAACCCAGGGUUGUACUAACACGAUAAAACCCCUAGUGUUGAAUUAACACCCAGAGUGUUCAUUUGUGUCCUGUGGAAUUUUGGGAUUUUGAUGUGAACCAUACAUCGAACGAGUCGGCCAAGGAAAACAACAACAGCUGAUGACAGAAACAUUGUGAGAGCUGUGAAGAAAAACCCAAAAACAGCAGUCAGUGACAUUACCAACAACCUCCACGUGGCAGGGGUUAAGGUAUCACAAUUCACCUUUCAAUGAUGACUUCAAGUACAGCAAUAUAGAGGCCACACCACAAGAUGCAGUCACUCAUCAGCAGUAAGAACCAGAAAGCCAGAUUGGAAUUCACAAAGAAAUACAGAGAUGAGCCACAAAAGUUCUGGAACCAACAUAAAAAGUAAUAGAAAGGCAAAAGUGUGGAGAAAAAAAUGCUCAAAAAGAAGGGCUCAUGAUCCAAAACAUAGAAGCUCAUCAGUCCAGCAUGGUGGAGGUAGUGUCAUGGCUUGGUCUUGCAUGGCUGCUUCUGGAACAUUCUCACUAAUGUUUAUUGACGAUGGAACUCAUGAUGGUAGCAGCAGAAUCAAUUCAUAAGUCUGUCUUCCAAUUUACAGACAAAUUCAUCAAAUCUAAUUGGAAGGAACUUCAUCAUGCAGUAGGACAAUGUCUCAAGACACACUACCAAAUCAACAACGGACUUCAUCAGAGGUGAAAACGUGAAGGUUUUAGACUGACCAAGUCAAUCACCAGACCUUAACCCAAUUGAACAGCAUUUCACAUCUUGAAGAAGGAGACUGAAGGAAGAAACCUCCCUGAAACAAACAAUAACUGAAAAAGGUUGCAGUUUAAGCAACACAACAAGCUGGAAAAGCAAGACAAAAGAAAAAUGCAACAGUUUGGUGAUGUCAGUGAGUCGCAGGCUUGGUGCAGUUAUUGCAAGCAAGAGAUAUGCAACCAAAUAUUAAGUGUGUUUAUUUUAAGACUCUGUUCCUAAACUUUUGCUCACCCAAAA
ensembl:lncRNA